CCAGGCGUGCCAGGUCCCAUUCCACCCAAACGCCCCUCCGCCGUCCCAAUCAGGGCGGGAGGCUGGACAACGGCCUUCGACUCAGAAGAGACGGUGAGAAGGCGGCAGAACGUCCGCCUCAGAGAUGAAAGCAGCCCCUCCCCAAAGGAACCUCUAGGCUCAAUAAUGAGAAGAUGAGACGGAGGUUGCGCAGGGGUUCUGCAGACAGCCAGGCCUCCUCCGCCCACCAAAUGCCCAGGCCCGAGGCCGCUCUUCCCGGGCCCCUGGGGCGCCGGAUCGCGUCCAGUCUACCCCGCCCUCCAGGCCCUUGGCUGUACCGUGGCCGCAAACUCCAAUAGCUCGGGGCCAGGCCCUCCGCCGCCCAAGACUGUCCUCACCUGCCGUUGGAGGCGCUGGGAGUGGGAGGGAUAGGGAGGACGCCUCAGGCCCCAACACUUUCGCCAACCGGUACCGGCAGCUCCGCCCUCUGCGCCCACAGAGCGUGCGCGGAAACGGGAGUCCCGCCCUGUCCCGCCCCGUCCUGCCCCGUCUCCCACCAAUCCCCACUCAAGAAGGCACGCCUGCGCAUUAGCUGUACGACGCCCCAAUCGUCCUUUGUCGAAGCCCAGGGAUCCACCUUUUGCCAUAACAAAAGGACGUUGGCAUCCAAUCAGGAUUGAGGCUGAUGUGGGCGGGUCCAGGAAAAACAACAGCCAAUGGCAGUACAGAGGCGAAGUUAGGCGUGAGAAAGCCAGUCCCAGGAAAGCAGCCCUUCAGUCUCAGCAGGAGCCUGAAAAUUGGGGUCAGAAAUACGGUGUGGAAAAUUCUGACAGCUGUCAGGAAGGAGGUUACUGAAUUCAUUGGAGAAUGAGUGAUGUCCUAAAUUUGAUGGAGAGAAUCGCUGAAAGUUGGAGUGAGAUGGGCAUUCCAAGUGGGUUGACCUUGCCUGAUACAUCUGCAGUAUAUGUCUGAGACUGCCACCCUCAGCAUUGCUUGGUGCUUUGGAAGCCAUGGAAGCCACACCUGCCAGUGUGGGUUUUAGACUCUGGUUACAAGCACUUUUUUUUUUUUUUUUUUUAAGUAUUUGUGAUCCUAAAGGGUCUUCUUUGACUUCUUCCCAACUUGAUGAAAAGGUUAGAAAAUUAUGACUGAAUAGGGGAAAGCUAAGUUAGAAGCUAGUUCCCAGGAACCCUCACCCUAACUUUUCUGCUGCAUGGAUAGUUUCUCCUUCCUUUCUGAAGAGAGUGCCCAGAGGCUGUCUGUGCUUUGCUCUCCUCUUGGGAGUUGUCCCCAUCAAUCCCAUAGGAGGGGUUGUUCACCCAUCAUGGCAGCCAUGGAGGCACAUGACUCAGUUCUCCUUGGAAGAGAACUUGCUGGGCUGUGGGGGUGGAGGGACUAGCUGACUGACAGCCUCUAGCUCCUGCACCUUUGGAUCCACUGGAUUUCUGGAUUGCUCCCAAUCAAUGACAGAGAAUUGUCGGGUUACUAACCCAUUCCUCCUAAAUGUGGAAUUAUCUAAGGGGAAGUUCUGACUCAGGGCCUUCCCAUUGACUUGGCCAAGACUUACUUAGAACCCCACUGGGGUCAAUAACUCUUCCAACUCAACUCUUCCUUCCGUGUCUUCUUUCAUGGAUGUCAGGCCUGCAUCGAGUUUGGACUCUUCUGCAUAUUCUUGUUUCCCUUUUAUUUUUUAUGAGUGUUUACUCCAAUAAAUAUCUUGUAUAUCUAAUGCUGUGUGGGUGUCUGCUGCUUGAAAGACAGAGGAGACACCAGGAGUGUUCUGAGUAAGCUGGUAUUAAGGUGGGUUUUGGAACUGGGCUGCCCACAACCUGGCUGACCAGAAAGACCUCAUCCUGAGUGGUGUGUAGGGGACAGAUACUCCCUGGCACAAGGUGGCAACUUAACUGUUGAAAAUUUCAUGUGUGGUUGCCCCUGGGAAAACAUUCUGGUGAGGGAGAAUGCCUUUGCCUGUGUGAUGAUUAAGACAUCUGAAAGAUAUGUGGGGGAACAUGGCUUACAAGAUCAGUAGAAUUUACUGGUUGCUACUAAGUUGUACUGGUGGGCUGCAGGGGAAUACGAGGAAACCAAGUACAGUUAACAUACAGACAAAAGCUAAGUGUGGGAGCCAGGGGGCCUUUCUGAUAGUUUAUAAAGAGGCUUUUAUCUCAUGCAGUGGAAGAGCAGACACAGUUGAGGAGCAAAUUCAGAAUCUGAUAGGAUUGCAAAGCCAAAGUGAUGUUUGCAUACUCAGCCAAGACAGAUCUUAUGGGAUCAAGGCCCUGGUUGGGAAAACAUAAGACCUUAAACACUGAGUCAAAGACAUCUGGGUGGAUGUUCUCAAGAAUUUGAUUCCUCAGGUCCCUCCUAACCCUCAGAGCUCUUGUAGAUGCCCCCCACCCCCAGAGUAAAAGACAGCAUUUUUGUAAUUCAGAAAGAUACCGUAGGGUUCUUUCCUCAGCAAGGUACCAAGUACCCCUGUCCCCCAACCCAGGAGCUAUCGCAUCUCUUAUUCUGGCUGCCAGGCCAGUAAUGAAGAUUAAAUUUCAGCAUAAUUCAGCUGAGGACAUAUAGGGUUUGAUAAGGAAAAAUAGAGAUUAUAUCUCAAAGGAGCUGAGAGAAUCAGCUAGCAUGAACCACCAGGAGCCAGAGAGGUACCCCUGGAAUUAGAUUUUGAAUAUGCUUGAUCAAAAUGGUUGAACAUAAGACUGGAGGUAAAAUGACAGCUAGCCAAUGAGGGUACUGAUUAAUACCUACAGUCGGAAGAAGGCAUGAAUGGAGGAGCAGUAGCAGAGAGCACUCCAAUAAAAAGUCAUCACCAUUUGCUUUAUUUCCUGGACCUGAGAAGAUUGUCAGAUCUGAUCCCAUUCACUAAAGAGGUGGCCAGAUCCCUAGGCAAAAUGAGACUGCAAUGCCAUGGCAAGUAUAUACCAUGAUGAUUCCCCUACUCCUCUCCAAAAGGGGCCUAUGCACACUGGGGAAAUGAGUAUACCCAAAUAUUUUGAUGCUAUCAGACACGGGUCUGAGUUGACAUUGAUGCCUAGAGAAGAGACCUGAAGUGUUAUCGCAGCCUUCUGUUAGAGUUGGAGAUCACAGAGCCAGGAAAUAAAGUAAGUCCUGGCUAAAGCUUGGCUUCCAGUGUGUCCUCUAGGUAGUCAUUGGAUCCACCUAGUAGUCAUGUCUCCAGUCCUUGAGUAUAUAAUCAGAACUGAUACACGUGGCAUUUGGUGUAACCCAAACAUCGGAUCCUUGGCAUAUGGGUAUGAGCUAUUGAAGGCCAAGUGGAAGCCUCUGAAAUUGCCCUCACUCUCCACCCUAUCUCCAACUAAGAUAGUAAAUCAAAAGCAAUACCAUAUUCUAACAGUGGAUAUUUGUGCCCAUUAAAGACUUCAAAGAUACAGGGUGGUGGUCCCCAAUAUAUCUGUGUUUAAUUUGCUAGUCUGGCCCCAUUCUCAAGUUGGGUCCUUGAGAAUGAUUAUUUUCUACUGCAGACUUUGCCAAGUAGUAGUCCUGAUAAAAGCUAUUGUGCCACAUGUGAUUUCAUUGCUAGAACAGAUUAAUAUACUUCAGGUAUACGGUACAUAGCCACUGAUUGGUUACUAAAAAACGAUUUUGUUCUCGGGAUUUUUUUAACUCAGUCACUCUCUGCCACAACAUAGCCUCUGGGGAUCUGGACCAUCUGGACAUUCUGCAGAAUGUUACAUUGAUCCAUUAUGUUGAUGACAUCAUGUUGAUUGGGCAAGAUGAGCAAGAGGUUGCUAUACGCUGGAGGCCUUGGGAAGAUACGUACAUUGCAGAGGGUGUGAUAUAUGAAGAAUCAGGGAGCUGCUACUCAGUGAAAAUGCCUCUUCACUCAGCCAGAUCUUGAGAGCAUCAUUGUCCGACGAGAGGCCGUUUCCCAAGUAACUUGAAGGCUGCAUGACUCCCGUAGUUGUCCUUAACAGCCCGGCUCCAGUACACCGCCUCCCGCAUACAUCACACCGCCCGGUGUUGGGCUGGAACUAACCAACCGUGAUAUUGGCAGUCACGCUCGCGUGCUCAAACCACCCAUGUGCAUGUGCUGGGAGGGGGCCGGCGCACAACUGCACGCAGCACCCAAUCUGGGCUCCAAACGGCACUGCAUUCUUAACGAGCAGGCUGGCUCAUUAGAGGGAAAUGUGGUCUAUAAUUCCAUGUUACAUCGCCUUUUGGCUCUGUUUUGUCUUUGCAGGCACCAGAUCUCAUCUAUCGGAAGCUGCAUAUGGCUCAUUAAAAGGACAGAGUUAGGGAGGGGCAACAGCAGGGCUCUCAGGCCAGAUGCCAUCAUCCCCUCCCUCCCCCUUUUUUUCUUUUUCAGCCCUUCCAAUGUUUUCCUUUCUUAGUUUAGCCUUCUCUCACCCACUCAGUAAAACCUAUAGACCUGUAAUAACUACCACUUAUCAAGCACGCACUCUGUGCCAGGUACAAUUGUACAUGAUCUCCGAUCCUCAAGACAACCUAGAAAAGCAUUCUAAUCCCAUGGUACAGGUAAGGGAACUGACUCUGGGAGGUUAAGGGGCCUCCCUGAGUGCAGGAGCAGGAGUGGGAAGCCAGAUCUGUCUGGCUCUUACCACUGUGUCACUUAAACUCGGGGCUGUUCACAUGGUACUUAGCACUUUGCAUGGUCUUAGUCCAGCCAAGGGAAGAAGGUUCUUCCCUACCCAACCUUUAUUACAAGGGAAAUGCUGCGUUCCCAUCUAAAGUUCUGAAAUUUGGAAAAGCCCUAUUUCCAUAUCAUUUUUCUUGUUAUCCCCAUAAGCCAAACAACCAAAAUUUAAAUCUAGGGACACCCACAAUAUGCCCCAGCUUCUUACAACCCUGACCAAGAAUGCAGUGACCAAGAGCUUUUUUUCGGCUGGCUCCAGCAUUAGGCUGUCUCACCCUCUGCUGUCUGCUAUAACAGUAAACCAUGCCCUGCAUCCAGUAAGUACAUUGUUUCCAUUUAUUUCAGUUCAGUCACCUGGGAUUUUCAAAGAGCUGUCUGUGACAGAGGUGUGCUCUGCCACAAUUUUCCUCCUAUCAUCUAAAUUGGCUCUCCUCUCCUUCGGCUCCUUAAGAAAAACCUGUUCCUGAUUGCAAGGAUGUGUCUGUUGCAGGCAGGCAGGAGAUGAAAUAUAGCACAGUGGCUACGAACACAACUUUAGAGUAAGACCUUCAAGACAAGAUGCCAAUCCUGCUUGCCCCAUAUACAAACUUUGAGAUGUGAUGAUUGGCUUUGAUUCUGUAAGCCUCAGUUUCCUCAGCUGAGGUUCGAGGAAAAUAAUGUGUGCAGAGCUUUCAACACGAUGUCUAUCUAGCACACAGUGAGGGUUCAAGACAUUAACUGUUAUCAUUAGUCUUCAGUUGGAAUGAAUAGAAGGCUAUGUUAAAUUUGCAUGAUUGUACUUUUACAGUAAGCCGUUAAUGAUGCAUCCAUUUAGUUUUCUACUCUGGAAGAGCAUAGAUUUGAUUAAUUACAACAAGAAUUUAAAGUAUUUCCAUUAUUCAGAAAUAACCUACAGAGUCUAAGCUUGUCCCUUCCUUCCUCCCUUCUUUCCCAAUCUUUUUUUUUUUUAAGAGAGAGAGAGAGAGAGAGAGAGAGAGGUAAAUAACAAUUAUGUAGUCAGAUUCACUAGCUCUUCCUCUCCUUGGUAACAGCCUAAGGCUUAACCUUGAUUAAGCAACAUCACAUCUGAUAUAAGUUCUCUCCACCCUCAACCCAGCCUCUGCUCCCCUUGGGGAGCAGCCCUACGCUAGACUCCCCAGCCCUGCUUACAGCAUCAGAACAUUACCAAGGCUAAGCAUCCUUAAAAUAUUCUUUUAAAAUUAAAUAGUUGUCUACCUACUUGAAGUUGGGCCAUUUUAUCUAUUCUGCAGGACAGUCUUGCCCCUCAGAAAAUGCAUGAGCAUGUUAAAUCAUUCUGGGGGUACCUGGAUAGCUCAGUCAGGUAAGCGUCUGACUUCAGCUCAGGUCACGAUCUCAUGGUUCGUGAGUUUGAGCCCUACCUCAGGCUCUGUGCCGAUAGCUCAGAGCCUGGAGCCUGCUUCGGAUUCUGUCUCCCUCUGUGUCUGCCCCUUCCCCACUCACUCUCUCUCUCUCUUUCUCUCUCAAAAAUAAAUAAAUAAACAUUGAAAAUUUUUUUUAAAAAAAUAAAAAAUUAUUCUGAAAUGCAUUUUAGAAGGGUCCUGAUCCAGACCACGCCUAUGUAUUUCCCAGGUGAAUGGCCCUGAGAUGUUUUGCUCGUGCCCUUCCUAUGAGUGCAAGCAAAGCAAAAUUUCUUGACAAAACAAGUUAGGAGUAAUAGGUGGGAUUUUUUUUUUUGACACUUCUUAUGACUCAAAGCAAACCUAAUUCUAGUUGUAGAGCAGGAAAAGAGAGGUGAGAUUGAUAUCGAGGAAAAUUGAACAUUGAUAAAGGAAGUUGCUUUCAUUCAGUCUCUCAGGUUCUCUGUCUGUCUGUCUGUCUGUCUCUGUCUCUCUCUCACACACACAGCCCCUUAAAGGGUAACUAUGUCCUGCAGAUCAUACUAUGUUAAUCUCAAUGCAAACAUAGCUGCACUGAAGGCAUUAGGGCCUCUCAUUUUCACUCACAAAGCUUCAGAUUCCACUAAAUUAUUAAAACUGGACACAGACUUCCAAUUUUGUGCCCACACCUACUCACGAAUACCUCCUUAUAAUGGGUGAGGAUAUAUUCAAUGCUAAAUUUCCUGCGAAUUUUCACAGCAUUCAGUCUUGAGACUGAGUUACUGUAUCCUGUGUGUGUUGGUAAACCUUUCUUUGAUUAAAAAUGGGAUAAAUCAUGGGGCACCUGGGUGGCUCAGCCCAUUACAUGUCUGACUCUUGGUUUCGGCUCAGAUUAUGGUUUGUGAGUUCAAGCCCCACAUCGGGCUCUGUGCUGACAGCUUAGGGCCUGGAGCCUGCUUUGGAUUCUGUGUCUCCCUCUCUCUCUGCCCCUCCUCUGCUCAUGCUCUGUCUCUCUCUGUGUCAAAAAUAAAUGAACAUAAAGAAAAAAAAUGCAGGACUAUCCCUAUUUUUUAAAAAAUGGGAUAAAUCAAUGAGAGAGUCCUUUUACCCAAGGCCACCUUAACUUUCACACGAAGGUCAUAUAUGCACUAAUUGGGUGAAAUAUAAAUCGUGUUUCUUUCCACAUUCACUUUUAGAUCCUGACCUAUGUUGUGUCAAGAAAUCAUAGGCAGCCCAACCUGUGUCAUCAAGGUUGGCUUGAUUCACAGAUGAUUUCCUUAAAUCAUAGAAUGAUAUUAAAUGCAAUUCCAAAAUAGAGAAAGUUCAAAGGCACAUUUUUUAAAAGCUUAUAAUGUUGUAGAAAAGGCAAUGGGAACCUUAACUCCAUUUGCUUUCCUAUUUCAUAGAGAUUUUGAGGGCAGGAGAAGAAUAUAACUCCUACCGAUAACACCUGUCAUGUCCUCCCUGGGAAAGGUGAUGUGGAAGAACUAUCAUUUUGAUCA